rnacentral:rRNA from 1 species
GAUGAACGCUGGCGGCGUGCCUAAUACAUGCAAGUCGAACGAAGAUCUAGCUUGCUAGAUCUUAGUGGCGAACGGGUGAGUAACACAUAAAUAAUCUGCCCAUAUGACUGGGAUAACUAUUGGAAACGAUAGCUAAUACCGGAUAGGUUGAUCGGAGGCAUCUCUGCUGAAUUAAAGUAGGAUUUCUACACAAAUGGAUGAGUUUAUGGCGCAUUAGUUAGUUGGUGGGGUAACGGCCUACCAAGACGAUGAUGCGUAGCCGAGCUGAGAGGGUGACCGGCCACACUGGGACUGAGACACGGCCCAGACUCCUACGGGAGGCAGCAGUAGGGAAUUUUCGGCAAUGGGCGCAAGCCUGACCGAGCAACGCCGCGUGAGUGAUUAAGGCCUUCGGGUUGUAAAGCUCUGUUGUAAGGGAAGAACAUUCAGGAUAGGAAAUGAUCUUGAACUGACGGUACCUUACCAGAAAGCCACGGCUAACUACGUGCCAGCCGCCGCGGUAA